rnacentral:rRNA from 1 species
UGGGGAAUUUUGGACAAUGGGCGAAAGCCUGAUCCAGCAAUGCCGCGUGUGUGAAGAAGGCCUUCGGGUUGUAAAGCACUUUUUGUCCGGAAAGAAAUCCUUGGCUCUAAUACAGUCGGGGGAUGACGGUACCGGAAGAAUAAGCACCGGCUAACUACGUGCCAGCAGCCGCGGUAAUACGUAGGGUGCAAGCGUUAAUCGGAAUUACUGGGCGUAAAGCGUGCGCAGGCGGUUUGCUAAGACCGAUGUGAAAUCCCCGGGCUCAACCUGGGAACUGCAUUGGUGACUGGCAGGCUAGAGUAUGGCAGAGGGGGGUAGAAUUCCACGUGUAGCAGUGAAAAUGCGUAGAGAUGUGGAGGAAUACCGAUGGCGAAGGCAGCCCCCUGGGCCAAAUACUGACGCUCAUGCACGAAAAGCGUGGGGAGCAAAACAGGAUUAGAUACCCUGGUAGUCCCACGCCCUAAAACGAUGUCAACUAGUUGUUGGGGAUUCAUUUCCUUAGUAAACGUAGCUAACGCGUGAAGUUGACCGCCUGGGGAGUACGGUCGCAAGAUUAAAAACUCAAAGGAAUUGACGGGGUCAUAGCUGUUUCCU